AGUGAACGCUGGCGGUAGGCCUAACACAUGCAAGUCGAACGGCAGCACAGAGGAGCUUGCUCCUUGGGUGGCGAGUGGCGGACGGGUGAGGAAUACAUCGGAAUCUACUCUGUCGUGGGGGAUAACGUAGGGAAACUUACGCUAAUACCGCAUACGACCUACGGGUGAAAGCAGGGGAUCUUCGGACCUUGCGCGAUUGAAUGAGCCGAUGUCGGAUUAGCUAGUUGGCGGGGUAAAGGCCCACCAAGGCGACGAUCCGUAGCUGGUCUGAGAGGACGAUCAGCCACACUGGGACUGAGACACGGCCCAGACUCCUACGGGAGGCAGCAGUGGGGAAUAUUGGACAAUGGGGGAAACCCUGAUCCAGCGACGCCGCGUGGGUGAAGAAGGCCUGCGGGUUGUAAAGCCCUUUCGGUAGGGACGAAAGCUCUUGCCCUAACACGGCAGGAGGUUGACUUAACCUACAAAAGAAGCACCGGCUAACUCUGUGCCAGCAGCCGCGGUAA
rnacentral:rRNA from 1 species